UGCCACAAUUUUUUCAGAAUCUCUCAGCGCCUCACUUGCCCUUCUCAUGCACGUCUUCACUAGGCAACUUUGAUCGUGUCGUUCUUGUCACAUGUAUUUAUAUUUUGUUCAUAUCCCUACGUGUGGCCUAUAUAUAGUAUGUGGAUUCGGGUUUUGGAUUCUACAGAAGAUGACGUGCAACUUGCGAGGCAGAUAAAGGUCAGUAACAUAUAUAUCCAAAACAAAAUUCCUUUAAUUUCCUUGAAGAGAAAAAAUAGAGUAAGAAACUAAACAAAAAAAAUCCUAACGCGCAAUUCGUAAUCUUUUGAUCACAAUAUGUAUGCAAUUCGAAAGCUAUGACUUCUAGGACUGCAC
rnacentral:lncRNA from 1 species